GAUGAACGCUGGCGGCGUGCCUAAUACAUGCAAGUCGAGCGAACGGACGAGAAGCUUGCUUCUCUGAUGUUAGCGGCGGACGGGUGAGUAACACGUGGAUAACCUACCUAUAAGACUGGGAUAACUUCGGGAAACCGGAGCUAAUACCGGAUAAUAUUUUGAACCGCAUGGUUCAAAAGUGAAAGACGGUCUUGCUGUCACUUAUAGAUGGAUCCGCGCUGCAUUAGCUAGUUGGUAAGGUAACGGCUUACCAAGGCAACGAUGCAUAGCCGACCUGAGAGGGUGAUCGGCCACACUGGAACUGAGACACGGUCCAGACUCCUACGGGAGGCAGCAGUAGGGAAUCUGCCGCAAUGGGCGAAAGCCUGACGGAGCAACGCCGCGUGAGUGAUGAAGGUCUUCGGAUCGUAAAACUCUGUUAUUAGGGAAGAACAUAUGUGUAAGUAACUGUGCACAUCUUGACGGUACCUAAUCAGAAAGCCACGGCUAACUACG
rnacentral:rRNA from 1 species